rnacentral:lncRNA from 10 species
AAGUCAAGAGACCAUUCCUUGCUUCAGCCAAGAAACAGAGUUCAAGUAAACCUGAAGCCCCACUCUUUAUUUCCUGUCGAGACACUCCCUCUAUCAGGGGUGUGUGUGUGUGUGUGUGUGUGUGUGUGUGUGUGUGUGUGUUACAGGUCUGAGUCUGAUGUUGAAGGUUGAAAUCCACAGAACAUCUGGCUGCUGGGGAGGGAGGAUGGCUAGAAGGUGAGGGAGGACAAGAACAAACUGGAAACUCACAAACGUGAGCUGGAGACCACAGAAAUGGACUGAAACCAACCUCAGUUCUCAUUUCUUCUGACCUUGGUCAGCUUCCUAAGACAAAGGAAGGACAGGGAAUGGAUCUGAAGGGACAAAGGGAAAUCACUGGGCUUCUUAAAUCGGUUAAUUCUUUUUAGGAAUCAUCAGAUAUAAACGACUGAAGGGUACAUAGUGGCCGGAGCAGCAAAGCUGCAGAAAUAUCUGAAGCUGUCACAGCAGCAAAAAGCAGGAGUGCACUGGGGACCACUAAUGCCUGCUCUGCCAGAUGAGUUUGCAGACUCUGUGGAACACGGGAGCCACCUAAAUUAUCCCUCUUGGAAGAGAUCACAGAACUCACAGAAAAUACUUGGAAUAUUAGAAUCCAGAACCUUCCUUCCAGAAUACACAAAGCCCUAGUCCAACUCACUCAUUUUUCAAAGGAGAAAAAUUGAGAUACUAUGUGAGUUGCACAGCUAGCUAUGUGCAAAACCAAGACAAGAAUGAGUAAUCCAGCAUGAUGCCAUGGAUCAAUUUCUCACCCUGAGCCUCAACUUCUCCAUUGCUCCUCAGGAUUUAGAAGAAUGAAUGUUCAGUGGCAAUCAGCAGCCCAUAUAGACCCACUAGAAACUUAGAUAUUUCUAUAUGGUCAAUUGAAAUAGCAGCAAAGUGAGAGAUGUUUUCUAUCUAUAUGUUUUGGCGGAAAAAAAUGAAGAAAAGAGAAGUGGAUGGGCAAGAACUAGGAAAAUGGGGAUCCUGAAGUAUGCACAAGGUAUUUACCAAGGAGGAAAGAAAACAUCUGCUGAAAACAAAGCAGCUUUAUUCAUAGUAGCCAAAAUCUGGAAACAACCCAAACGUCUAUCACCAGGUAAACAUGUAAACAAAUUGUGGAUGUUCAUGCAAUGGAAUGCUAGUCAGCAAUAAAAAGAACAAACUACUGAGACACACAACAUGAAUGAAUCUCAAAAAACAUCACAUUGAUCAAAAGAAGCCAAAUGCAAAGAGAUUGCAUUGUGUGAUGCCAUUUAUAGGAAACUCAAGAAUGGGCAAACUAAGCUAGUGAUAGAAAUUAAAAAACAGUUGCCUCUAGAGAGGGGGAGGUAGAAUUGCUAGAAAGGGGCAUGAAGGGAUUUGCUGGAGUGAUAGAAAAUGGUCAAUAGCUUGUUGGGGAUGGUGGUCAUGAAUGUGGAACCUUGUCAAAACUCAUCAAACAGUAAGAAUAGUAAAAUUUCUUCAUUUUACUUUAUAGUAUGCAAAUCAUACCUCAGAUCAAAAAUAGAAAAAUUCAAACAUUAAGGAACUUGAAAUCUUUACGUCAAUCAAAUAUUGCUUCAAUAAUGUUGAUGUGGUUUGGCUGUGUCCCCACCUAAAUCUCAACUUGAAUUGUAUCUCCCAGAAUUCCCACAUGUUGUGGGAGGCACCCAGGGGGAGGUAAUUGAAUCAUGGGGGCUGGUCUUUCCCAUGCUAUUCUCUUGAUAGUGAAUAAAUCUCAUGAGAUCCGAUGGGUUUAUCAGGGGUUUCCGCUUUUCCAUCUCUCUCAUUUUCUCUUGCCGCUACCAUGUAAAAAGUGCCUUUCAUCUCCUGCCAUGAUUCUGAGGCCUCCCCAGCCAUGUGGAACUGUAAGACCAAUUAAACCUCUUUUUCUUCCCAG